rnacentral:misc_RNA from 1 species
CAGCCCGGUAAUUCCAGCUCCAAUAGCGUAUAUUAAAGUUGUUGCAGUUAAAAAGCUCGUAGUUGAAUUUCGGGGUUAGUAGGUUGGUCAUGCCUCUGGUAUGUACUGGUCUCACUGAUUCCUCCUUCCUGAUGAGCCGUAAUGCCAUUAAUUUGGUGUUGCGGGGAAUUUGGACUGUUACUUUGAAAAAAUUAGAGUGUUUAAAGCAAGCUAACGCUUGAAUACAUUAGCAUGGAAUAAUGAAAUAGGACGUUCGAUCCUAUUUUGUUGGUUUCUAGGAUUGACGUAAUGAUUAAUAGGGAUAGUUGGGGGCAUUAGUAUUCAAUUGUCAGAGGUGAAAUUCUUUGAUUUAUUGAAGACUAACUACUGCGAAAGCAUUUGCCAAGGAUGUUUUCAUUAAUCAAGAACGAAAGUUAGGGGAUCGAAGACGAUCAGAUACCGUCGUAGUCUUAACCAUAAACUAUGCCGACUAGGGAUCGGAUGAUGUUAAUUUUUUAAUGACUCAUUCGGCGCCUUACG